rnacentral:lncRNA from 1 species
GGCUCACUCUUGGGCAGACCGGAACCUGCCCUCUCCAGGGACUCCCGUCGCCUUCCUAGCUGAGUGGAUCCUAGCACCCCUGGAGGGGUGGCCGCAGAAGAGUUCCUUCUGGACUCAGAGAAGCAGGAUCCAGGCUCCAUCAGCUCAGUUCCCCUCCACCAAGAAACAGCCCAGCGAGCAGUACCUGGUGGCGCCAUGCUUCAUAACGUCAGCAAAGGUGUGGUGUAUUCAGGUAGGCAUUCCUUGACCCAGAUCCUAGGUGGCAGGCAGUUUGGGAGGUAGAGUGGGUCAUGCACAAGUCCCUUCACAGGUGCUUUAGUCCCUGACCCUUGAACGCUGUCCACACUGGGUACAAAGACUGGUCACUGAACUUAAGGCAGAAGACAGCACCUUCUUUAAGGCAGAAGAAAGUAUUAAUAAAUACUGGAAGUUUUUACUUCCAGUUAAGUUUUAUUUUUAUGAUCCAGUGACAAUACCACACAUCAGUGUGUUCUCACAGUCCACUCUGGAAACCGACCAAUCUAAGAUUGUGCCAUGGUAAACAGAGGUGGAGCAACCAGGGUGAGGAGAGACCAAGGAAGGCUUCAGAGGAGAUCAUGCCAUGUGUUUAGGAGAUGCCAAUAGCAAGACGUUCGGAGGCUUCUGGAAGAUGGCAAGGCACGUUUGGGAGGGACUGUGUCCACAGUGGCAAGCGGAGAACCAUUUGUGUGCACACAGGUGCAUGUAUGUGUGUGAGAGGGCAUCAAACCCCUGGAGAUGGAGUCCCAGGUGGUUGUGAGCCAUCCAGUGUGGUGCUGGGAAUAGAACUCUGGUCCUGUGGUGGGACAAGCACCGUUAACCACUUGGCAAGCAUGCGGGGUUCAGAGUCUUUCUCCUCCUACCAUGUGGAUCCUGGGGGAUCUAACUCAGGUUGUCAUACCUGGUGGCACGUGUCUGUCUGCAGAGCCAUUCUUGCCACUCCAGGGCCAGCCAACUCUGGAUGCCGAGUCCUUAGCUACACCGUAAACUCUGUUGCUUUUGGAAUGCUAAGAUGGUCUAUCUCGGUGAGGCUGCUGUGUCUCCCUAGCUUGUCCACUGUCUGUCUUCACAG